UUGCUGCUAACUGAGGGCUUGUUCCUGAGAGCCACAGACAAUUUGCUGCAUUCCCACUGACUUCCUAUAGAUCCUAAUGGCAGCAACUGUGAGUGCUACUUAAGGCUAUCAAAGCUGCAAAAGUGAUAAUGAGGGAAGUGGGGCGGGGGCAUGGCUAUGCAAUACUGCCUCAGACUGGCUCUGGCUGGGAAGUGUGAGACCAAUGUAUGUCCUGACUCAUCAAUGCAUCACUGGGUGGCCUUUACUUGUGGAGCUGCAGAGGAGACCUGUAUUCAACUUAAAACUGGCUUUCAGGGGUUCAGCAGCUCCCACUACUCUAGGAAGACAAAUUUACUCAUUAUCACCUCUCCAGCAUGCUAGAUGCAAGAUCAUCUCAGAAGAAUAGAUGAGAACGUGGAACCUUGGCUGGCAAGUCGGACGAUGUUUUGGUGCCUUUCAUGGGAAAAUCUAAACCUUUGCCAUCUUUAAUCAGAUAUUCAAACUUUGCU